rnacentral:rRNA from 1 species
AACGAACGCUGGCGGCAGGCUUAACACAUGCAAGUCGAACGCCCCGCAAGGGGAGUGGCAGACGGGUGAGUAACGCGUGGGAACGUACCUUUCAGUUCGGAAUAACUCAGGGAAACUUGUGCUAAUACCGGAUACGCUCGCAAGAGGAAAGAUUUAUCGCUGAAAGAUCGGCCCGCGUUGGAUUAGCUAGUUGGUGGGGUAAUGGCCUACCAAGGCGACGAUCCAUAGCUGGUCUGAGAGGAUGAUCAGCCACACUGGGACUGAGACACGGCCCAGACUCCUACGGGAGGCAGCAGUGGGGAAUAUUGGACAAUGGGCGAAAGCCUGAUCCAGCCAUGCCGCGUGAGUGAUGAAGGCCCUAGGGUUGUAAAGCUCUUUCACCGAUGAAGAUAAUGACGGUAGUCGGAGAAGAAGCCCCGGCUAACUUCGUGCCAGCAGCCGCCGCCG